UACGGGGGGGGGCAAGCGUUGUUCGGAAUUACUGGGCGUAAAGGGCUCGUAGGCGGCCAACUAAGUCGGACGUGAAAUCCCCAGGCUCAACCUGGGAACUGCGUCUGAUACUGGAUGGCUUGAAUCCGGGAGAGGGAUGCAGAAUUCCAGGUGUAGCGGUGAAAUGCGUAGAUAUCUGGAGGAAUACCGGUGGCGAAGGCGGCAUCCUGGACCGGCAUUGACGCUGAGGAGCGAAAGCCAGGGGAGCAAACGGGG
rnacentral:rRNA from 1 species